rnacentral:rRNA from 1 species
UAGGGAAUAUUGGACAAUGGGGGCAACCCUGAUCCAGCCAUGCCGCGUGAAGGAAGACGGUUCUCUGAAUUGUAAACUUCUUUUAGCAGGGGAUAAGUCGGCGCUACACGCGCCGUUGAAGGUACCUGCAGAAUAAGCACCGGCUAACUCCGUGCCAGCAGCCGCGGUAAUACGGAGGGUGCAAGCGUUGUCCGGAUUCAUUGGGUUUAAAGGGUGCGUAGGCGGAUUUGUAAGUCAGUGGUGAAAUCCUGCGGCUUAACCGUAGAACUGCCAUUGAUACUGCAGAUCUUGAGUGCACGUGAGGUGCUUGGAAUGCGUAGUGUAGCGGUGAAAUGCAUAGAUAUUACGCAGAACACCAAUUGCGAAGGCAGAGCACUGGCGUGAAACUGACGCUGAGGCACGAAAGCGUGGGGAGCGAACAGGAUUAGAUACCCCCGUAGUCC